GAGGCUGUGGCUCAGCGGUAGAGCGCUCGCCUAGCACAUGUGAGGCCCUGGGUUUGAUCCUCAGCACCACA
rnacentral:tRNA from 1 species